rnacentral:lncRNA from 1 species
CUUCCAUACAAUAAAUAUAGUUGACCUAUUACUUAUAGUUUACGAAAAACAGACCAAAACACAAAAACUUAACACUGUGCAAUGAACCGUGAAAUUGAGAUCAUGGUCAAAUAAAACCUGCGGGACUUACAUAUAGAUCAUAAAAUAUCCAUACACCAAAUAUAGUUGACCUUUGGCAUAUAAUAUUAGAUAAAAAGACCAAAACUCAAAAACUUAACUUUGACCACUGAACCAUGAAAAUGAGGUCAAGGUCAGAUGACAUCUGCCCGCUAGACAUGUACACCUUACAAUCAUUCCAUACAACAAAUAUAGUAUACUUAUUGCACAAAGUAUGGGAAAAAAAGACCAAAACACAAACACUUAACUAUAACCACUGAACCAUGAAAAUGAGGUCAAGGUCAGAUGAACUAUGCCAGGCAGACAUGUACAGCUAACAAUGCUUCCAUACAAUAAAUAUAGUUGACCUAUUACUUAUAGUUUACGAAAAACAGACCAAAACACAAAAACUUAACACUGUGCAAUGAACCGUGAAAUUGAGGUCAUGGUCAAAUAAAACCUGCGGGACUUACAUAUAGAUCAUAAAAUAAUUCCAAACACC